AUACAUGUGUGUGCAUCUGAAGGUCAUAGGUUGUAUUAGUCAGGGUUCUCUAGAGUCAUAUAUGGGUAGUCUCUAUAUAAUAAGGGAAUUUGUUAUGAUGACUUAUAGUCUGUAGUUCAACUAACUCAAAAAAUGGUCAGCUGUGAAUGGGAAAUCCAAGGAUCUAGUAGUUACUCAGUCCCACAAGGCUAGUUCUGUCAGCCUCUCUUCUGAGAUUCCAAUAGAUGUGCUGGCAAGUAAGUGCAAGCAGGCAAAGAAGAACAAAUCUUCCUUCUUCCAAAGACUUAAUGUAGAUCUCCAGCAGAAGGUGUGGCCCAGAUUAAAGGUAUAUGCUACUAUGCCUGGAUCUGGGACUUGUUUUGUCUCAAGCUGACUUUGAAAUCAGAGAUCUCCUUGUCUUAGUCUCAGGGAUUAUAGGUGUGUACCACAUUGCCUGGGCCUGAGCUUUUCAUAGCUACUAUGCCUGAAUAUCUGCACGAUAAGAUCCAGCUCAGAAACUUGUGUCUUCCAGCCUCAAGAACUGGAUCACAGGUGAGUCCUCCAAUUCUGGAUUGUAGUUCAUUCCAGAUGUAGUCAAGUUGAAAACAAGAAAAUAGCCAUUACAUAGGUCAAUUCCAGAUAUCUUUCUUAGUUCCUCCCUACAGUAUAUUUAAUAGGCUAAACUGUCUCCACCUUCUAAGGCUAGGUUUAUACCUGGCAUUUCCUUGGAUGCUAGGGGCAUAAAUUCAGGUCUUCAUGCUCACACAGCGGGUACUUUACCUGCCAGCUCCCUGAAUGUCUUUUGUCUUUACCUCAUUACUUAUUCCCUUUUCUAUGAGAAAUGAAGCCUCACUAUCCUCAAAUGCAACACCAUUGGGAGCCCCCUUUAUAAGUUAAUUUAAAUGUGUAAUGAGGAAGCCCGAGAUAAAUUGUUUGCAAGGGAAAAUGAUGCUGUCAAUCUUUCUUGGUGACAGCCUAGUUAGUCAUUUAAGGGUAUAAUAUAAUUAGAAUUAUUCUAUGUGAUAAAACAAAUUAGAAUACUUAAAGGAUUCCAUUUAUAAUGGGGAUAGUUGAGAACCAAAUAGCAAUGUAUUAAAAAUGUGCACUGCAAUUGGUAGGAUCUUGGAGAAAGCAAAUAUCUAUGCAUACAUCCAUAUGAUUGUUUAUAAGCUAACCCAAGGCAGCAUACAAGUAUCAUAGAUCAUUGCUUUGCCAAUUGUGUCCUAAGUAUUAAUACUAAUGAUAAUAAUUAGUAAUAUCACUCAAAUAUUAAUAUGUGAGAAAUGCUGAAUAGGAUUGCUGUGAAAUUAAGGGAACUGAUAUUAACAUAUCAGUUUGCUAUGAAUAAUGAUUAUCACUCUAUAGUGAUUCAGUGAUGCAUUUGUUUGCAUUAGAUAAUAAUUUUGUCUAUUGUUAUUCCUCUAAUAGUUAAUAAGUAAUGAACACAUUUACAUUGGACAUCAUUUAUAUUAUAAUGAAAUGUGCGGCUUUAUGAACAAAAAUUUGAAUACCUGCACACAAUACACUAAUUUUAGUUGAAGCAAUGUAUAUGGGAAUCAGAAGUGUAUACCCAGAUGGAAAAAUAUGUGAUCAUGUUCAGUUAAGAAAGGCAAGGGUUAGGCAGAGUGACGGAGGGAGGAACUCUGUGAGGGGGGCAGCGUUUGGAACGUAAACAAAUAAAUGUUUUACAAGGGUAAACAACGAAGAAGGCAAGGUGCUUCCACACCAAGAUGUGACACCUGAUUUCUAUUAUGUUUGUCUUUCACAAAGCAGAAUAUGAUAAACAUAUAUAUGUACAUUGAGAUGCUGAAACUGUGGACCACAUGAAACCCAACCAAGAAGCCCCAGUUAAUGAUUUUAUCAAACCUUAAUGAGAAAAUAACUGAAAACUAUAAACCACCCCAUUAUGAGUAAGAAUUUCACACUGAGUAAAAUUUUAGUACUCCGCAUCUCACGGUGAGUUUAUCAAAGAUAAAGUUUUUGCUAGAUUUCUAAUUCCAGUAGUAAAAUUACAAUUUGAUUUUACGAAACAUCUUUUAAAAACAACAGCUUUUAAAUAACUAAAAGGAAGGAAGCAUACUCUAAUUCAUCUCUAGCAAAUGACAUUUUGUUGGAAGAGCAGACAAAGCAUGGAGGACAGGAAAAGCCUUUAAUAGAGGCUUAAAUGGUUCUCACACCUUGUUUUUUUCUGGGUCCCCAAUAGUCUGUCUAAACAAGUAUCUGUCUUUCUAGGAGGCCUCCCAAUUGAUAUUUUCUUUUCUAUGCCAAUUUAUGCUAUAAAACUCAAACUUGAAUAGGUCAGUGUAAACCUUUAAAUGGAUGGAGGCUUCUGCUUUCUCUUAGCAUAAAUUCUAAAUGUGUGACUCAGUGUGUGAUUUCUCCAACGUUAUCCUUUCCCAUUUCAAAUUCUGCUUCGUCUCCUCAAAUAAACUGUUAUUCCCUUGUACCUCUGGAACUUGACAUAAGAUGGUUCAUAUCUGCAGGGAAAGCACUUACUAUAUAGCAUAUUUUUUCCUCUUUAUUUUUUUUUUACAAUG
rnacentral:lncRNA from 1 species